AUGAAGAGUAGGGACGACGCGGCUACCUGCUACUGGUCCGGCGGCGGCUCCGGUCGCUAGAUUCAGGAAAUCGUCUAAAGUGCUCCAACCAGUCUCUUUUGAAUCUCCAUCCAUGUUGAAGUUCCACUCUUCCCAAUUCCCAACGAUGAUGCAAUCCAUGUUGGCUGAUGAGGAGGUCGUUCAGUCGCCUCAAAUCAUGCCAAGAGCAAACUGCAAUUCACAUUGGAAUAUAUGUGCAGAAGGAGGCACAUCGAAUGCAGUUUGAAAGAUGUGUUCAACUGUUUUAGCUGCCUCACAAAUUUUACAGAAAUUAUGAUUGCUAUUCUGACAUUGCUUUUUACCAUAUGAAAUAUUUUGUGUUCAGUUUUCCCUUGAAA